UACGUAGGGGGCGAGCGUUGUCCGGAUUUAUUGGGCGUAAAGAGCGUGUAGGCGGUUAGGUAGGUCCGUUGUGAAAACUCGAGGCUCAACCUCGAGACGCCGAUGGAAACCAUCUAACUAGAGUCCGGAAGAGGAGAGUGGAAUUCCUGGUGUAGCGGUGAAAUGCGCAGAUAUCAGGAAGAACACCCGUGGCUAAGGCGGCUCUCUAGUACGGUACUGACGCUGAGACGCGAAAGCGUGGGGAGCGAACAGG
rnacentral:rRNA from 1 species